CUGGGGUCAAUACAGCCUCCCUAGCUAUUCCCAUUGAAGGAGGUGUGGCCUGUUUGCCAACCGUCCUAGUCCCAGUGGAGGAGGUGUGGCCUUUGUGCACAUCGGUACCAGUGAAGGAAGUGUGGCAUCUCUACGCGUCCAUCUCAAUGCUCACAUCUGCGCCUGCAGUUCCAGUAAAGAAGGUGUGGCCUCUGUAUACAUCAGUCCUACUGAGGGGGGUAUGGCUUCUGUAAACAUCAGUCCUAGUGAAGGAGGCGUGUCCUCUGUGACUGUAGUUCCAGUGAAGGAGGCGUAGCCUAUGUACAUAUCAGUUCCAGUGAAGGAGGUCUGGCCUUUGUACAUGUCAAUCCCAGUGAAGGAGGCGUGUCCUCUGUGACUGCAGUUCCAGUGAAGGAGGUGUGGCCUUUGUACAUGUCAAUCCCAGUGAAGGAGGCGUGUCCUCUGUGCCUGCAGUUCCAGUGAAGGAGGUGUGGCCUUUGUACAUGUCAAUCCCAGUGAAGGAGGCGUGUCCUCUGUGCCUGCAGUCCCAGUGAAGGAGGCGUAGCCUAUGUACAUAUCAGUCCCAGUGAAGGAGGUGUGUCCUCUGUGACUGCAGUUCCAGUGAAGGAGGUGUGUCCUAUGCAAAUGUAUUUUCCAGAAGGACGUUUCGUGUCAUUCAUCCGACCCAUGAUUUUGGGUAUCUGUUCUCUGGAAAGCAC
ensembl:lncRNA